CGGCGGCAGCGGCGGCGGCGGCGUUAGCUAACUUCUUAAAAGCUUUAUAUUUUAGAAGAUGGAAGACCUGGAUGCUUCAUACUUUGUAUAUAGAUGCCUCAUGUUACGAAGUUUCCGUCAGUCACAUGUCCAAUGUCCUUGACCUCAUUUUCAUGGUUCAGCGACUACUUGAAAAAAAAGUUCAGAUUUUUUGGAAUGUUAAAUUCUCUCUUAUUAUAAGUAAUAGGAUAACUAUAUUUGGUAUGUGCGUACCUUGCAAGGUCCUCAUGCCCGUCAGAUAGUUUUCACUUGACCUCGACCUCAUUUCAUGGAUCAGUGAACAAGGUUAAGUUUUCGUGGUCAAGUCCAUAUCUGAGAUACUAUAAGCAAUAGGUCUACUAUAUUUGGUGUAUGUAAUGAUAGUAAGGGGUACAUGUCUAACUGGCAGGUGUCAUCUGACCUUGACCUCAUUUUCAUGGUUCAGUGGUCAUAGUUUAGUUUUUGUGUUUUGGUCUGUUUUUCUAAUACUGUAUGCAAUAGGUCAACUGUAUUUGGUGUAUGGAAAUAUUGUACGAUGUUCAUGUCAGUCUGGCAAGUUUUAUUUGACCUUGACCUCAUUUUCACGGUUCAUUGCUCAAUGUUAAGUUUUUGUGUUUUGGUUUGUUUUUCUAAUAUUAUAUGCAGUAGGUCAACUAUAUUUAGUGUAUGGAAAUAUUUUACGAUGUACAUGUCAGUCUGGCAUGUUUUAUUUGACCUUGACCUCAUUUUCAAGGUUCAUUUUUAAAUGUUAAGUUUUUGUGUUUUGGUCUGUUUUCCUAAUACUGUAUGCAGUAGGUCAACUAUAUUUGGUGUAUGGAAAUAUUUUAUGGUCUUUAUGUCAGUCGCGCAGUUUUUAUUUGACCUUGACCUCAUUUUCACAGUUCAUUGCUCAGUGUUAAGUUUUUGUGUUUUGGUCUGUUUUUCUUAAACUAAGCAAUAGGUCAACUAUAUUUGUUGUAUAGAAGAAUUGUUAGCUGUACAUGCUUGCCUGGCAUGAUUCAUCUGACAUUGACCUCAUUUCCAUGGUUCAUUGGUCAAUGUUUAGUUUUCUUGGUUAAUGUUAAGUUUAUGUGACAGUUGUAAGAAAGCUUUAUAUUUAGGACUAUCAACAUAAUAUCAAUGAUUAGUAAAGAAGGCGAGACAUUUCAGCGUGUGCACUCUUGUUACAGUUCGUUCUUAUGUUGUACUAUUACACCACUGUCCCAGGUUAGGGGAAGGGUUGGGAUCCCGCUAACAUGAUUUAACCCGCCACAUUCUGUAUGUAUAUGCCUGUCCCAGAUUACGAGCCUGUAAUUCAGUGGUUGUCGUUUGUUGCUGUACAUUUUUGUUUUUCGUUCAUUUUUUGUACAUUUUAAAAUUAGGCUGUUAGAUUUCUUGUUUGAAUUGUUUUACAUUUGUCAUUCUAGGGCCUUUUAUAGCUGAAUAUGCAGCAUGGGCUUUGUUGAAGGCCGUACGGUGACCUAUAUAUAGUGAACUAUAGUUGUUAAUUUCUGUGUCAUUUGGUCUCUUGUGGAGAGUCUCAUUUGGCAAUCAUACCACAUCUUCUUUUUUUAUUAACUUACUCAACAUCAAGACAUACAAAUAUUGUUCUGUACUAAACAUCACAAGCACAUUGACAAUGUUGAUUUUCUUUUUUAACUUAACGUAUUUUACUGAUGAAUGAACUCUUUGGCAGCCAACACUACUCUUUUACACAGGAUUUUUUUAUUUUGCUAUUUGUUUUUGUGUCUUGUACCAAUCUGAAUAAUUAUGCCAUUUCCAAUUAAUCUUAACAUGUUUUUUUAUAAUGUUAUGCUAUUAAACCACUAUCCCAGGUUAGUGGAGAAUGGAUGGCUUACAAACAUAUUUAAUCUCGUCAUAUUCUUUAUGUUCUUCUUCCAAGCCAUAAGCCUGUAUUCCAGUGCACUGGCUGCAUUGGUUGUUGUCUGAUAUUUUUGUUAUUUUACUGCUUUUAGCAUUAAAUAUAUAUGUUUUUUAUUCCCAA